UACGGAGGGAGCUAGCGUUGUUCGGAAUUACUGGGCGUAAAGCGCGCGUAGGCGGUGAUCUUUGUCAGAGGUGAAAAGCCUGGGGCUCAACCCCCAGAAUUGCCUUUGAAACGGGAUCGCUAGAGUCCGAGAGAGGAUGGCGGAAUUCCGAGUGUAGAGGUGAAAUUCGUAGAUAUUCGGAAGAACACCAGUGGCGAAGGCGACUCACUGGACACGUAUUGACGCUGAGGUGCGAAAAGCGUGGGGGAGCAAACAGG
rnacentral:rRNA from 1 species